rnacentral:sRNA from 1 species
CCGAAGCCAUUUUGGCUCAAG